GGAGGGGUGCCGGAGCGGUUAAUCGGAACAGACUGUAAAUCUGUCGCCCUAAGGGCUUCACUGGUUCGAAUCCAGUCCCCUCCACCA
rnacentral:tRNA from 1 species